UCACACCUGUUCCCAUGUCGAACACAGAAGUUAAGCUCCUUAGCGUCGAUGGUAGUCGAACUUACGUUCCGCUAGAGUAGAACGUUGCCAGGCA
rnacentral:rRNA from 1 species